rnacentral:rRNA from 1 species
UACGAGGGGUGCUAACGUUAUUCGGAUUUAUUGGGCGUAAAGGGUGCGUAGGUGGCGAUAUAAGUCUGUUGUUAAAUCUUCCGGCCUAACUGGAAGCUCGCAAUGGAUACUGUAUUGCUCGAGGGUGGAAGAGAGAAGUGGAAUUCUUGGAGUAGCGGUAAAAUGCGUAGAUCUCAAGAGGAACACCAAUGGCGAAGGCAGCUUCUUGGUCCAAUCCUGACACUGAGGCACGAAAGCGUGGGGAGCAAACAGG